AUCGUCUUUCCCUCUCUUCAGAGUUAUCAGCACAGACCCAUCAUGGCACGGUGUCUAGGUUCGUUGACGACCAACUCAUAAAAAUGAAGCUUGGAGGGGUUCACGACUUCAAGGGUUCUCAGUCGACGAAUACAUAUGAUAUGGUGCCCUGAGAAAUUCCUAAAAACAGAGAGGUUCAAGCACUUUGUGCUUCUCAAGUAACCAAAUAUAUGGGCAUUGUAGAGGUCGAGCACCUUUGCUGCUACUCCAUGUUAAGAUUCCCCACUUGUGCUCUUGGUGAUGCACAUGGGGUUUGUUUUCUCCCCUUUCUUUUUUUCAUCUUAUUUGAUUUCUUUAUCUCAGGCCUCUAAUUUCUUGUCUAGGUUUUGUUUGUGCCGUCAGAUUUAGUGGGUAUUUUCCCUGUUUCCCAUAUCUUAUUGUUGUUUUCCAUACACCUAUGUGAUGAACCGCCCAAUAUGCUUUCUAAAAAACAUGAGUUUUAGAUGUAGUUUGCCCAGAUUUAGGUUUUGUGUGCUCAGAUUUGGGUUCUUGAUAAUCUCUUGGGUUCUAGAUGUAGUUUGCCCAUAUAUGGAUUUUGUGUGCCCACAUCUGGGUUCUCGAUAAAUGUCUAUUGGGUUCUUGAUAAUCUCUUGGGUUCUAGAUGUAGUUUGCCCAUAUAUGGAUUUUGUGUGCCCACAUCUGGGUUCUCGAUAAAUGUCUAUGGGUAUUUUUUCUAUAAAUUUAUUGUACUAAGUUAUGUUCAAACAAUGAAACAUGCUAAUAUUGUAGUGACUUGUCUAUGGUGCUUGAGGAUCUAGAUCAAACAAUGAAACAUGCUAAUAUGAAGAUGGAAAGCAUAUAGCAAAAUAAAUUUAAAUGUAUUCUUUCAGACAACCCAUCAAGCUUAUUCUACAAUCACUUCUACCUGGAAGCUUUAGUUGCAAUCUAAAUCCAUACAAAAUUGUGUUCUUACAGAGAGAUCCUUCAAACAAUAGAGCUACCUCCAAAUUUGCUGGAUGAUGGCUCUGAAUUAUGGGAGGCAUUUCUAAUUUGUUCUUUGUUAAGUUGAUGUUUUGCAUUAUGAUGUAAACAACAAUGAAUAUGUAGUGUAUUGUGAGGGUUGAUAUCUAUUAUUAAUUAUUAUUUUUUA